UUCGCAGCGCACAGACAGGGAGAGAACUCCUGAAAAUUGUUGUGAGGAAAGUCCCCGUGCCUUUGGGCAGAGAGUGCCAGCAGGAGACUGCGAGAUGUCGUAAUGUUCAUUGUCAGCGACGCUUUCAUGCCGAGGUGCAGUGGCAAGAUGGCAUCCUUCACAGCAGCACAGCCAUGUCGUGAGUGUUCGAGCGAGGACGCCAACUGAACGAGGGCUCAUUCUC
rnacentral:RNase_MRP_RNA from 15 species